UACAGAGGGUGCAAGCGUUAAUCGGAAUUACUGGGCGUAAAGCGUGCGUAGACGGUUAUGUAAGUCAGAUGUGAAAGCCCCGGGCUCAACCUGGGAAUUGCAUUUGAGACUGCAUAGCUAGGGUGCGGAAGAGGGAAGCGGAAUUUCCGGUGUAGCGGUGAAAUGCGUAGAUAUCGGAAGGAACACCAGUGGCGAAAAGCGGCUUCCUGGUCCAGCACCGCGUUCAGGCACGAAAGCGUGGGGAAGCAAACAGG
rnacentral:rRNA from 1 species